rfam:Gossypium hirsutum cultivar TM-1 chromosome 23, whole genome shotgun sequence
CACGUCAGCGCGAUCUACUGACGUGAAAGGAAAUCACGUCCUUGAGGGCGCAAUUUCCUUUUACGUCAACAGGUCGCACUGACGUGG